AUUGAACGCUGGCGGCAGGCCUAACACAUGCAAGUCGAACGGUAACAGGAAGAAGCUUGCUUCUUUGCUGACGAGUGGCGGACGGGUGAGUAAUGUCUGGGAAACUGCCUGAUGGAGGGGGAUAACUACUGGAAACGGUAGCUAAUACCGCAUAACGUCGCAAGACCAAAAAGGGGACCUUCGGGCCUCUUGCCAUCGGAUGUGCCCAGAUGGGAUUAGCUAGUAGGUGGGGUAACGGCUCACCUAGGCGACGAUCCCUAGCUGGUCUGAGAGGAUGACCAGCCACACUGGAACUGAGACACGGUCCAGACUCCUACGGGAGGCAGCAGUGGGAAUAUUGCACAAUGGGCGCAAGCCUGAUGCAGCCAUGCCGCGUGUAUGAAGAAGGCCUCGGUUGUAAGUA
rnacentral:rRNA from 1 species